AACCUUUAAAUGCGCGCGAAUAGGGCCUAUAUGGGCCGUGCCGGGUUCGCCCGGCUAUGGCGAUAAACUGCGGCGUAUAAUAGGCGCAGCGGACCCGGGGGCAGUACCCGGCGGCUCCACCAGGAGCUGGGUGAGUGUCGGCGGCACGCUUCAUGCGGGCCAAUGAGCAACCCAGUUGCUGAUGGGGCCGAACCAGGAUCGACGUGUGUUGAAAGGCGCUGUUUUCGCCCGGGCUGAGUAACCCGUUAAAGGCUCAGAACCAUAAGUGCCAACGAUAACGAGGCUCUUGCGAUUGCUGCGUAACCCGGUCCUCACGGACUGAGUUAUAUCAGACAAAAGCGCGGUUCGGACCCUACCGGGCAACAGAAAGGGAAACC
rnacentral:tmRNA from 1 species